UACGUAGGGUGCGAGCGUUAAUCGGAAUUACUGGGCGUAAAGCGUGCGCAGGCGGUUUUGUAAGCCAGAUGUGAAAUCCCCGGGCUUAACCUGGGAAUGGCAUUUGGGACUGCAAGGCUCGAGUGCGGCAGAGGAGACUGGAAUUCCCGGUGUAGCAGUGAAAUGCGUAGAGAUCGGGAGGAACAUCUGUGGCGAAGGCGGCCAUCUGGACCAGCACUGGCACUGAGGCACGAAAGCGUGGGGAGCAAACGGG
rnacentral:rRNA from 1 species